GAGUAAAAGUCGUAACAAGGUUUCCGUAGGUGAACCUGCGGAAGGAUCAUUAUUGAAAUAAACCUGAUAGGUUGUUGCUGGCUCUCUCGGGAGCAUGUGCACACUUGUCAUUUUUAUAUCUCCUCCUGUGCACUUUUGUAAACCUGAAUAAAUUUCUGGAUGCUUCCCGGCAUUUGGGUUUUGGGGAUUGAUUUAUUUCUUUUCYCUKGUUUUUCAGGUUUAUGUUUUCCAUAUACUCCAAGUAUGUUAUAGAAUGUUUAUCAAUGGGCCUUUUGUGCCUAUAAAUUUAUAUACAACUUUUAGCAACGGAUCUCUUGGCUCUCGCAUCGAUGAAGAACGCAGCGAAAUGCGAUAAGUAAUGUGAAUUGCAGAAUUCAGUGAAUCAUCGAAUCUUUGAACGCACCUUGCGCUCCUUGGUAUUCCGAGGAGCAUGCCUGUUUGAGUGUCAUUAAUAUAUCAAUCUCUCCUGCUUUUUGCAUGUUGAGUAUUGGAUGUGGGGUUAUUCUUUUGCUGGACUCUCAUUUGAGGUCGGCUACCCUAAAAUGUAUUAGCGAAACAAUUUGUUUACUGCUCAUUGGUGUGAUAACUAUCUACGCUAUUGACGGUGAAGGCAUGUUUAGCUUCUAACAGUCCAUUGACUUGGAUAAUAUCUUUAUUAAUGUGACCUCAAAUCAGGUAGGACUACCCGCUGAACUUAAGCAUAUCAAUAAGCGGAGGAAAAGAAACUAACAAGGAUUCCCCUAGUAACUGCGAGUGAAGCGGGAAAAGCUCAAAUUUA
rnacentral:rRNA from 1 species